UACGGGGGGUGCGAGCGUUGUCCGGAAUCACUGGGCGUAAAGGGCGCGUAGGUGGUUUGAUAAGGGUGUGGUGAAAGUCCGGAGCUCAACUCCGGAUCUGCCGUGCCGACUGUCAAACUCGAGGGCUGUAGAGGCAGACGGAAUUCCGGGUGUAGCGGUGGAAUGCGUAGAGAUCCGGAGGAAGACCGGUGGCGAAGGCGGUCUGCUGGGCAGUUUCUGACACUGAGGCGCGAAAGCGUGGGGAGCAAACAGG
rnacentral:rRNA from 1 species